UAUCUCUGAUCUCACCUUUCUUGUCACCUAAACUGUGUCAACAGUACAUUUUCUUGUUUAAAUGGAUAUUUUGUUGUUAUUUUCUACAAAUGUAGUUUGCAGCCCACUAUCUUUAUGGACUUUGAUAAUUGUCAUCAUUUUGGUUUUGCUUAUAGUCAUGCUAUGCUCAAAUGGAAUUCUCAUUGUAUUGAAUACUUCUUCCAGAACCUCAAGUGAUUCCUGAUCUAGAACUUUGAUAUAAAUUCUAUGGAUCAACAGACAACUCACAGUAUCAUCAGAAGCACAACCUGCUUACAGGCCCAGAAUAUCUGACAGACUUUUCGGUAAAACAGAAUUCUGAUAACUUAAAAACAAACAUUGCCACAAAAGACCACCGCUCCCAAUACCAGCCUACAAUCCACACUGCCAGAGAAGCCAGUAAACAAGAAGGACACCAAGAGAGACAUACAUGGUCCCGUGGAGAAGGGGAAAAGGACAAGAUAUUCAGAGCAAAUUGGGAGCAUGGGGGGAGGGUAGAGGAAACUAGGAGAAUGAGAAAGGGGAGAAGAGGAGGGGUAAGGAAGACAUGAUGGGGCAGGUAGGUUGAGUUGGGGGAAGAAAAGAAGAGAGCAAGAUAAGAGAUAAUAUAAUAGAGGGAGACAUUAUAAGUUCAAAGAGAAAUCAGGCACUAGGGAAAUAUCUGGAGAGCUACAAAGAUGACACCAACUAACAAUCUAAGCAACAGAGGAGAGGCUACCUUAAAUACCCUCUCCUGAUAAUGAGAUUGAUGACUAAUUCAUAUUCCAUCAUAUAGCCUUCAUCCAGCAGCUGGUGGAAGUAGAAGCAGACACCCACAGCUAAACCUUGAACUGAACUGAAAUCCAUUUGCAGAGAAGGAGGACAGAUGAGCAUAGGGAUCCAUACCAGGCUGAUGAAACCCACAGAAACAGCUGACCAGAACAAGGGAGAGCUUUUUGUUUCCAGACUGAUAGCAGGAAUACCAGCAUGGGACUGAUCCAGACCCCCUGAAUGUGGGUGUCAGUGAUUCCUUGUAGUGGAUCAGUACUUAUCCCUAGCACAGGAAUGGACUCUGAGAGGGGGAGUGUAGUUAGAGGUAUGUGGUUAGUGGGUACAUAUGAUCAAUAUAUAUAGCAAUAAAGAAUAAGAGUUUCAAAGAAAAAGAUGUUAUGGG
rnacentral:lncRNA from 1 species